rnacentral:rRNA from 1 species
GAUGAACGCUGGCGGCGUGCCUAAUACAUGCAAGUCGAGCGAACAGACGAGGAGCUUGCUCCUCUGACGUUAGCGGCGGACGGGUGAGUAACACGUGGAUAACCUACCUAUAAGACUGGGAUAACUUCGGGAAACCGGAGCUAAUACCGGAUAAUAUAUUCAACCGCAUGGUUCAAUAGUGAAAGACGGUUUUGCUGUCACUUAUAGAUGGAUCCGCGCCGCAUUAGCUAGUUGGUAAGGUAACGGCUUACCAAGGCGACGAUGCGUAGCCGACCUGAGAGGGUGAUCGGCCACACUGGAACUGAGACACGGUCCAGACUCCUACGGGAGGCAGCAGUAGGGAAUCUUCCGCAAUGGGCGGAAGCCUGACGGAGCAACGCCGCGUGAGUGAUGAAGGUCUUCGGAUCGUAAAACUCUGUUAUUAGGGAAGAACAAAUGUGUAAGUAACUAUGCACGUCUUGACGGUACCUAAACAGAAAGCCACGGCUAACUACGUG